rnacentral:rRNA from 1 species
UACGGAAGGCAGCAGUGGGGAAUAUUGCACAAUGGGCGAAAGCCUGAUGCAGCUAUGCCGCGUGUAUGAAGAAGGCCUUAGGGGUUGUAAAGUACUUUCAUCGGGGAGGAAAAACAAAACUAAUAAUUUUAUUUCUUGACGUUACCCGAAAAAGAAGCACCGGCUAACUCCGUGCCAGCAGCCGCGGUAAUACGGAGGGUGCUAGCGUUAAUCAGAAUUACUGGGCGUAAAGAGCACGUAGGUGGUUUUUUUAAGUCAGAUGUGAAAUCCCUGGGCUUAACCUAGGAACUGCAUUUUGAAACUGAAAUACUAGAGUAUCGUAGAGGGAGGUAGAAUUCUAGGUGUAGCGGUGAAAUGCGUAGAUAUCUGGAGGAAUACCUGUGGCGAAAGCGGCCUCCUAAACGAAUACUGACACUGAGGUGCGAAAGCGUGGGGAGCAAACAGGGAUUAGAUACC